GAAAGAUUUGGGGUGGAGGCAGCAGGAGAGGCUGUGAGCUUCCUCCUUUCCAGCUCUGCAUUGGAGUCUC
rnacentral:lncRNA from 1 species